rnacentral:rRNA from 1 species
AGAGUUUGAUCCUGGCUCAGAUUGAACGCUGGCGGCAGGCCUAACACAUGCAAGUCGAGCGGUAACAUUUCUAGCUUGCUAGAAGAUGACGAGCGGCGGACGGGUGAGUAAUACUUGGGGAUCUGCCUGAUGGCGGGGGACAACCACUGGAAACGGUGGCUAAUACCGCAUAAUGCCUACGGGCCAAAGUGUGGGACCUUCGGGCCACAUGCCAUCAGAUGAACCCAAGCGAGAUUAGCUAGUUGGUGAGGUAACGGCUCACCAAGGCGACGAUCUCUAGCUGUUCUGAGAGGAUGAUCAGCCACACUGGGACUGAGACACGGCCCAGACUCCUACGGGAGGCAGCAGUGGGGAAUAUUGGACAAUGGGCGCAAGCCUGAUCCAGCCAUGCCGCGUGUGUGAAGAAGGCCUUCGGGUUGUAAAGCACUUUCAGUGGUGAGGAAGGCGUUGUAGUUAAUAGCUGCAACGAUUGACGUUAGCCACAGAAGAAGCACCGGCUACUCGUGCCACAGCCGCGGUAAUACGGAGGGUGCGAGCGUUAAUUCGGA